rnacentral:rRNA from 1 species
GCGGAGGAAAGGAAACCAACAGGGAUUGCCUCAGUAACGGCGAGUGAAGCGGCAAAAGCUCAAAUUUGAAAUCUAGCACCUUCGGUGUUCGAGUUGUAAUUUGAAGAUGGUAACCUUGGGUUUGGCUCUUGUCUAUGUUCCUUGGAACAGGACGUCAUAGAGGGUGAGAAUCCCGUCUGAUGAGAUGCCCAUUCCUAUGUAAGGUGCUAUCGAAGAGUCGAGUUGUUUGGGAAUGCAGCUCUAAGUGGGUGGUAAAUUCCAUCUAAAGCUAAAUAUUGGCGAGAGACCGAUAGCGAACAAGUACAGUGAUGGAAAGAUGAAAAGAACUUUGAAAAGAGAGUGAAAAAGUACGUGAAAUUGUUGAAAGGGAAGGGCAUUAGAUCAGACUUGGUGUUUUACGAUUAUCUUCUCUUCUUGAGUUGUGCACUCGUAUUUCACUGGGCCAGCAUCGAUUCGGAUGGCAAGAUAAUGGCAGUUGAAUGUGGCUUCACUUCGGUGGAGUGUUAUAGCUUCUGCUGAUAUUGCCUGUCUGGAUCGAGGGCUGCGUCUUUUGACUAGGAUGCUGGCGUAAUGAUCUAAUGCCGCCCGUCUU